AGAGUUUGAUCAUGGCUCAGAAUCAACGCUGGCGGCGCGCUUAACACAUGCAAGUCGAACGAGAAAGUCCGCAAGGAUGAGUAAAGUGGCGUACGGGUGAGUAACACGUGGAUAAUCCACCUCUUAGUGGGGAAUAACUCUGGGAAACCGGAGCUAAUACCGCAUAAGCCUGUGAAGGGAAAGCAGCAAUGCGCUGAGAGAGGAGUCCGCGGCCGAUUAGCUAGUUGGUAGGGUAAUGGCCUACCAAGGCGAUGAUCGGUAGCCGGCCUGAGAGGGCACACGGCCACACUGGCACUGAAACACGGGCCAGACUCCUACGGGAGGCAGCAGUGGGGAAUCUUGCACAAUGGGGGAAACCCUGAUGCAGCGACGCCGCGUGAACGAUGAAGCCCUUCGGGGUGUAAAGUUCUUUCGGCAGGAACGAUAAUGACGGUACCUGAAGAAGAAGCUGCGGCUAACUACGUGCCAGCAGCCGCGGUAAUACGUAGGCAGCAAGCGUUGUUCGGAGUUACUGGGCGUAAAGAGUGUGUAGGCGGUGCUCUAAGUUUGGUGUGAAAUCUCCCGGCUCAACUGGGAGGGUGCGCCGAAAACUGGAGUGCUUGAGUAUGGGAGAGGAAAGCGGAAUUCCUGGUGUAGCGGUGAAAUGCGUAGAUAUCAGGAGGAACACCUGCGGUGUAGACGGCUUUCUGGACCAUCACUGACGCUGAGACACGAAAGCGUGGGUAGCAAACAGGAUUAGAUACCCCCGUAGUCC
rnacentral:rRNA from 1 species